GUUGACCUCGGAUCAGGUAGGACUACCCGCUGAACUUAAGCAUAUCAAUAAGCGGAGGAAAAGAAACCAACAGGGAUUGCCCCAGUAACGGCGAGUGAAGCGGCAACAGCUCAAAUUUGAAAUCUGGCCCCAGGCCCGAGUUGUAAUUUGCAGAGGAUGCUUUUGGCGCGGUGCCUUCCGAGUUCCCUGGAACGGGACGCCAUAGAGGGUGAGAGCCCCGUACGGUUGGACACCAAGCCUUUGUAAAGCUCCUUCGACGAGUCGAGUAGUUUGGGAAUGCUGCUCUAAAUGGGAGGUACAUUUCUUCUAAAGCUAAAUAUUGGCCAGAGACCGAUAGCGCACAAGUAGAGUGAUCGAAAGAUGAAAAGCACUUUGAAAAGAGGGUUAAACAGCACGUGAAAUUGUUAAAAGGGAAGCGCUUGUGACCAGACUUGCGUCCGGUGAAUCACCCAGCUCUCGCGGCUGGGGCACUUCGCCGGCACAGGCCAGCAUCAGCUUGCCGUCGGGGACAAAAGCUUCAGGAACGUGGCUCCUCUCGGGGAGUGUUAUAGCCUGUUGCACAAUACCCUUCGGCGGGCUGAGGUACGCGCUCCGCAAGGAUGCUGGCGUAAUGGUCAUCAGCGACCCGUCUUGAAACACGGACCAAGGAGUCAACCUUAUGUGCGAGUGUUUGGGUGUUAAACCCCUACGCGUAAUGAAAGUGAACGCAGGUGAGAGCUUCGGCGCAUCAUCGACCGAUCCUGAUGUUCUCGGAUGGAUUUGAGUAAGAGCAUAUAGGGUUGGACCCGAAAGAAG
rnacentral:rRNA from 1 species